rnacentral:rRNA from 1 species
ACGCACGCUGGCGGCGUGCUUAACACAUGCACGUCGAACGGAAAGGCCCUGCUUGCAGGGUACUCGAGUGGCGAACGGGUGAGUAACACGUGGGUGAUCUGCCCUGCACUUCGGGAUAAGCCUGGGAAACUGGGUCUAAUACCGGAUAGGAGCCAUUUUUAGUGUGAUGGUUGGAAAGUUUUUUCGGUGUAGGAUGAGCUCGCGGCCUAUCAGCUUGUUGGUGGGGUAAUGGCCUACCAAGGCGGCGACGGGUAGCCGGCCUGAGAGGGUGGACGGCCACAUUGGGACUGAGAUACGGCCCAGACUCCUACGGGAGGCAGCAGUGGGGAAUAUUGCACAAUGGGCGCAAGCCUGAUGCAGCGACGCCGCGUGGGGGAUGACGGCCUUCGGGUUGUAAACUCCUUUCGCUAGGGACGAAGCUUUUUGUGACGGUACCUAGAUAAGAAGCACCGGCUAACUACGUG